ensembl:lncRNA LINC01579 long intergenic non-protein coding RNA 1579
GGAGUCACGCGAAGUCGGAAGUACCAGCUGCGGGAAGGAGCUGCCCACUGUGCGUCUUCUCAACUUGUUGGGACAACCUUCCUGCGGAAAGGAGAGACAACCUUCCUGCAGAAAGGAGCUACCUGCUUCAGGUCUACUGAGAGCUGUUCUGCCACUCAAUAAAGCUCUUCUCCAUCUUGCUAAGCCUCCAUUUGUCCGCAAUACCUCAUCUCCCUGGACGCAGGACAAGAACUCAGGACCCGCCUGGAGGUACUAAAAGAGCUUUAACACAAACAGGGCUGAAACACGCUCCCUUGCUUGCCACAUUGCGGGUGACGAGAAGGAGAAAAGAGCUGUGUUCCUUUGAGGAUCCCAGACCUAGGGUCUCCCUGAGCCAGGGCUGUGACACUCCCUUUGGGGUUCUAUGGUUCCUGGCAUCUUCAAGCUUCCAGGCGCCACCACCUUCGUUCCCUUCAUCCAAACAGGUGCCCACAGCAGAAUCCACAUGCCGUCCAUCUGGUCCAGCCUCACGCAGAGCCACAACUGUGCUGGCGCCUGGAGCUGCCAGCCCCACUGCAGCAGCCGGACUGACAUUCAGACGUGGAGCAAGUUGGACUGCAUAGGGACCCACCAGUGAGAUGGACGCUGUCUGUAAACGGGGAAAUUUAUGGAAAGAUGUCCUCCUGCAACUGCUGAAAAUGCAACAUGCUGCCCAGGUCCUGCUCAGACCACUGACAACUCAGAAGUUAAUACUCAGAGUGGAAAGCGUAGCAAAGUGUAGUACAUGAGCAAGCGUUUCAAGCCAGACGGAGUUAAUCAUCUCUGUCACUGAAUUGGAGCUCACGGUCUGCUGGACAACUGUGCUGAGUGGAAAGGAAGCCUCGAUGGCUAAGUCACUUGUCCAACCUCAGACACUGGCAGAUCCAGGAUUCAAACAGCUAGACUCCAAAUGUGUUUCCUUUAACCUCUUUUCUACCUUUUCAACUUGAUUCCACACAUCACCACUGGGAAAGCUUAGGUGAGUAAGUCAUGUGGGCUUUGGUUUUUUCAUCUGCACGAUGGAUAGACUGAGACCUUCUUCCCUCAUGCCUCUGAGGAUGACAUAAAAAACCCACAAAAUCCCUAGUCCACUUACUUGCUCACAGAUAUUUACUGAGUGAGCAUCUGAUUUCCAUCCCAUUGUCACCUUCUCCCUAGCUGUCCAGACACCCUGCUUGCCUGGCCAAUGCCACCAAAGAAUGGAACCUGCUUUUGUUCCACACUCCGUAGCCAGAAAAAAGAGACAGUUGUUCUGGCAUGUUAUUGUUUGAUUUUAUUUUACCUCAGGGAUUAAAAAAAAUGACUAUCAAUUAUAGCAACAUCAGGUAGAGGGUUUGGUAUACAUUUCCGAUGAGCUUAGAUUUCUCUCAAAUUCUCAUACUUUUAAGAUUUAUUUUUAAAUGUGAGCAUUGAAACUUAACCAAUCCUUUAGACUCUUACUCAACAAGGGAUUCUAAAGAACA